rnacentral:lncRNA from 1 species
AUGCACUUAAAUCCUUCUGCACACACUAUAGAAAGGUCUAUUGCAUUUAUUCUAGCCUCUCACAGAUCCUUAAGGUUUUAUGGGUGCUUUAAAGCAGAAAUAAAGAUCCUUUUUUAUAUCCAAAAACCAGAUGUCUCUCAAACUGCCAUCCUAUUCCCCACAACUGUAGUUAUUUUCUCUUUAAGAUGUUGCAUCUGGACCACAGUCCUUUGCCUUUCCUUUUCUAGAGAUGUGCAGGCUUACAGCGGAAGUCUCCUGCUCCCCUCACCCCAGAGGUCGGCGCGGCGUUUAGGAGCAGAGAAUGAAACCUGCUCACAGCUGUGUCAGGUCCUGGCCUCGGCAGGAGCACACGUGGGAGAACCUUCGGCAAGGAGAGAAGAGAGGAUUUGCCCGAUGACACUUCUGGCUGAGCAGCGACUCGUUCAAGUCCUUGAGGUCUCAUUUACGGUGCUGGUGCAGAGGGGAGAAUACCUGCGUGAUUCUGGCACAGGUGGGCACUUGUUGGGGUCCCUCCCUCCUCAGAGUGGGCUGCCUGCUGCAAGGCUGGCUUACAUCCAUCAUCCACUUGUUAAAAGGAAAGAAAAAGCCAGCAGAUGGUGCUCGAGAACACGCGCCCUGGCUUCUGGCGGAGCAGGCCCAGCAAAACUCAGCUUUCCAGGCUGUCAACACUCACAGUUUCUGAAGGCUCCGUUUGAGAGGGUGAAGAAAAUAAACCCCUGCUGGUACAGCAGGCUGCCCGGCACCCUCACUGCUGCUGCUGGGAGGUGGCGGUGCCGCCGGGGGACGCCUGGCGUGUGCCGUCAGUUCACCCUGCCACCAGGGAGGUACAGGACGAGCGUGUGUCUGUGCCUCUGA